UACAGAGGUGGCAAGCGUUGUUCGGAAUUACUGGGCGUAAAGGGCGCGUAGGCGGCCAUCUAAGUCAGACGUGAAAUCCCCCGGCUUAACCUGGGAACUGCGUCUGAUACUGGACGGCUCGAGUAUGGGAGAGGGAUGUAGAAUUCCAGGUGUAGCGGUGAAAUGCGUAGAUAUCUGGAGGAAUACCGGUGGCGAAGGCGGCAUCCUGGACCAUUUACUGACGCUGAGGCGCGAAAGCUAGGGGAGCAAACGGG
rnacentral:rRNA from 1 species